CGAAGACCUUGUCUCCAAGGCCCUGUUCUGCCGCCCAUCGCCGCUCAAUCGCCGCCAUGGCAGCGCACUCCAUCCUUUUCUUCCCAGUCUUCGUGCUGCCCAAACUCUCUCUCUUCCGCACAGCUACAAAAGGGAGUACCAGAGCCCCACCGGAGUUUCCUUCGACAUUGCUGUUUCGCCGCCCCUACUCUGAGCACACUCGAGCACUUCCGCUGAGCUCUUGAGAAGUUCCC
rnacentral:lncRNA from 1 species